rnacentral:misc_RNA from 1 species
CAGAGAACUUGCCCUUUGGGUAGAUCUCCCACCCUGUGUUUACAUACUUUGUUGCUUUGGCAGGCCCGCUCUCGGGCCGCCGGCUUCGGCUGGCCAGCGCCUGCCAGAGGACCCCAACUCUUACUGUGGAUGUCGUCUGAGUACAAUACAAUAAGUUA